GGUUCCGUUGUUGAGUGAAAUUCCUCCAUCUGUUGGUUUGAGUCCAAUAAAAAAUAUGACUGCAAGUAUGAUUCUUUAAAGUUUUGCUUUUAGUGGGGAUUAUUAUUUUUUCGUUAUCUGUUAACAUGCAUAAGAUAGCAUUACAGUACAGGCUUUGGAUGUAUAUAUAUUUUUUUUCUUGUCAUAGUGGUUGAAAACCUGCUUCUUGAAUAGGCAGCUAAAAUAAAUGCACAUCUGCAGUCUAACAAAAGUAGUAUUGUGUAAUUAUAUCUGCAAGCAGGGAAUUGUACAUUUCUAUGGUAAAUAAUUCCUAAAACCCUUGUUGUUUCGUAAAUGAGAUGCGUUUCUUAUUAGGUCCCAUCUAACUAUGGCUUUGAAAUGUUCUUUUUGUUGCUGAAUAACUGCUGUACCUCCAGGAAAACUGCUGGUUCUAGAACA
rnacentral:misc_RNA from 1 species